rnacentral:lncRNA from 1 species
AAAAAAAGAAAUAGGUUGUUUAAAACUUGACAAUAAUAGAAUUUUACAUGAGAACUAUGGGGGUGUCUAGCAUGUUUCCCUUGAGUGUAGGCUGUCAGCAUUGGUGAAGUGAUCGCUUUGGGUUGCUGAUUGAGAAGCUACUUGUUCUCUCAGAAUGGAAGAAUAUUCAGGAGACCGGGUCUGUGGUCUGUUAGAAACCAGGUUUCAGAGCAGGAGGUGAACGAUGGGUGAGCGAGUGAAGCUUCAUCUAUAUUUACAGUGGCUCCUCAACACUAUUAUUACUGCCUGAGCUCCGCCUCCUGUCAGAUCAGCUGUGGCAUUAGAUUCUCAUAGGAGUGCCAACUCUAUUGUGAACUGUGCAUGAGUGACCUAGGUUGUGUGCUCCUUAUGAAAAAUCUAAUGCCUGAUGAUCUGUCACUGUCUCUCAUCACUCCCCUGUUGUGACCAUCUAAUUACAGGAAGGCAAACUCAGGGCUCCCACUGAUUCUACAUUAUGGAAUAAUGAUGCUCGCAUGAAACAGGCAAGGAAGGACAGAAAGAGAAGGAAAGAGAGAAACUGAUUGAAGAAAAAUAAACUUCACAUGGAACAAACUUCACAUGAAAACAUGAGAUUUUUUCUUUUUUUGGGAUGGAGUCUCACUCUGUUGCCCAGGCUGGAGUGCAGUGGCACGAUCUGGGCUCACUGCAGCUUCUGCCUCUAGGGUUCAAGGGAUUAUCCUGCCUUAGCCUACCAAGUAGCUGGGAUUACAGGCGUGCACCCCCCAUACCUGGCUAAUUCUUGUAUUUUUAGUAGAGACGGGGGUUUCGCCAUAUUGACCAGGCUGGUCUUGAACUCCUGACUUCAAGUGAUCCACCCAUCUCGGCCUCCCAAAGUGCUGGAAUUACAGACGUGAGCCACCAUGCUUGGCCGAAAACAGAAGUUUGAAAAAAUUUAUUGAAAAACAUUUUGCCUAUGAUUCCAGUAUCAUAAACAUACUAUAGGACUCCAAAACCCAAUAAAAUUAUACUGUGAUCCUGAAAGUAUCUUAAGAGGCAUUUAAUAUACAAUGUCCAUGAAUAUCAGGUUGAACAGUGUGUUUUUAAAAUAUACAUUUGUAAAUGCUGUUUGUAUAUUACAUAUAUUAACCCUUUGUCUGUCAUUCAGAUUGCAAACAAUUCUGCCACUACUUUGUAUUGUUUUGAUAACUUUCCCCCACAAAAUGUUACUUUUUAAUGUAGUAGGAUAUGUGUAAUUUUAUUUUUACAGCUUUCAGCUUUCUUGUUUUGAUUAAAAUAGUCUCCUCAGCUCCCAAAUUAUACAUAUAGUCUCCUAAAUUUUCCUUUGGAAUUUUUAGGUGGUUUUUAAAUUUUAUUUAUUUUUAUUUUUUGAGACACAGUCUCACUCUGUCGCCCACCUGGGCUGGAGUGCAGUGGCGAGAUCUCUUUGUGUGGCACACAAGGCCCCACCAGGGGUCUGAUCCUGCUUGAUGGGAUCUUGAUUUGCAUAAACCAUACCCCUGCUGGGAUCCCAGCUGUGGUAGAUUGUGUUAUUGUUGAAAAUAUUUGCUUUCUCUCCCUUGGGUAGAUCAUACCUCCCUGUCUCGCUGAUAUCACGCUUGAUGUCUGACUGGCAGUGCCUCUCUCUGAUAGUAUUUUAUAUCCAGGGCGACCUUGUGACUUGCUUUGGCCAAUAAAAUUUGGGUGGAAGGGACGCACAUCGUCUCUGGAAAGAAGCUUCAAGAGCCAGCUGGUGGUUUUGCCAUCUGUCACCCUCUACCACCAUGAGACUGGCAAUGUCCCAGACGGGGGUGGUUUGGCCAGCCCAGGUCCCAGAGUGAACAUGGCAUGGAUGAGAGCACAGACAUUGAAAUGGGCAAGCGGCAUGAGCAAGAAAUACACCUUUGCUGUUGUAAGCCAUAUAGCCUUUAGGACUGUUUGUUACUGCAGCAUAACCUGACACUUUCUGACUGCUACACCAAACUCGCUGGCUUUGAGAGACUUUACCCUUUUUUGCUUUUUUUUUUUUUGAGAUGGAGUUUUGCUCCGUCUUGUACAGGUUGGAGCACAGUGGCAUGAUCUUGGCUCAAUGCAA